CCUACGGGAGGCAGCAGUAGGGAAUAUUGCUCAAUGGGGGAAACCCUGAAGCAGCAACGCCGCGUGGAGGAUGAAGGUUUUCGGAUUGUAAACUCCUUUUGUUAGAGAAGUUAAUGACGGUAUCUAACGAAUAAGCACCGGCUAACUCCGUGCCAGCAGGCGCGGUACUACGUCGGGAGCAAGCGUUACUCGGACUCACUGGGCGUAAAGGGCGCGUAGGCGGGAUAUCAAGUCAGAUGUGAAAUCCUAUGGCUUAACCAUAGAACUGCAGUUGAAACUGUUAUUCUAGAGUAUGGGAGAGGUAGGUGGAAUGCGUGGUGUAGGGGUAAAAUCCGUAGAUAUCAAGAAGAAUACGCAUUGCGAAGGCGACCUACUAGAACAUAACUGACGCUGAUGCGCGAAAGCGUGGGUAGCAAACAGGAUUAGAUACCCGGGUAGUC
rnacentral:rRNA from 1 species